AUCGCUUAAGAAACCAAGAUUCUGUGAUUAAACAAAUGCCCUUGGUAAUGAAGGGCAGGGCCCGCGCUGCACCCCAGGGAAGGAGUCUGUAAGAUGGCAGGACUCGGAGUAAUUCCAAAUGUGACACUUCUCACGUAUCUCCAGAUUUAUCGUCCUGAACUUUUUAGGAGUAGAAAUUGAGAAGAAAAAAUAAAUGAAAAAACCCCACAGAAAACGAAAAACAAACCAGCAGGGGAUUCAGCUGUAACUCCCACCUCUGAUAUGCUGGAGCUCCCCAAACGAAUGCCAGACACACAGUCCUUCGAGGCACUGUGAAUGAACAAACUAACCACAGGCCAGCAUCAUGGAUGCUCACCACGGAGGACAGGCCGUCAUCCCUGUUCAGGAGAGAAGAGAACAAAUUGGGGGAAACCCCUCACUGGAAACCGUUGAUCCUGAAAGCCGUGCCCUGCCCGGUGGAGGUGACCAUGCUGAAAGUGCGGUGGGAACUUUGGUUAUCGCGGCAGGAAGGAGCCUUCUUCUUGUCUUGGGGCAUAACGCAAACCAGAUGGCUUAAGAAUAAACUGAAAUGCCAGCAGCCUUGGAAAUGGCUCAGUUUGUAACUCAAA